CCUACGGGUGGCAGCAGUGAGGAAUAUUGGUCAAUGGUCGGGAGACUGAACCAGCCAAGCCGCGUGAGGGAGGAAGGUACAGAGUAUCGUAAACCUCUUUUGCACGGGGAUAACACCCUCCACUUGUGGAGGUCUGCAGGUACCGUGCGAAUAAGGGCCGGCUAAUUCCGUGCCAGCAGCCGCGGUAAUACGGAAGGCCCGAGCGUUAUCCGGAUUCAUUGGGCUUAAAGGGAGCGUAGGCGGGCGUUCAAGUCAGCUGUAAAAUCGCGCGGCUCAACCGCGCCCCGCAGUUGAAACUGGACGCCUUGAGUUCACAACAGGCAGGCGGAAUUCGUGGUGUAGCGGUGAAAUGCAUAGAUAUCACGAGGAACCCCGAUUGCGAAGGCAGCCUGCCGGGGUGCGACUGACGCUGAGGCUCGAAGGUGCGGGUAUCAAACAGGAUUAGAUACCCGAGUAGUC
rnacentral:rRNA from 1 species